UAAGACCUGUUACCUUGUUAUGACAGAGUGCUGCCUGAUUACCUUAGCAUGGCGUCUGUAUGUCAAAACCUUCUUAUGUGUUGAUGACUUCCUUCUCUUGUUUCACACUUCACCUGAUGAAGCCAGCAAGAUGGUCAUUUAGAUG
rnacentral:lncRNA from 1 species